rnacentral:tRNA from 1 species
GAAACUGUGCCCGAACGUAUAAGGACUACUUUGAUAGAGUAGAACAUAGGGACUAAAGCCCCCUCAGUUUC